AUGAGUCUUUUGGCAGGUACAUGGAGGCCGGGAGCGCCAAGGCGCACCUCACGGACGCGGACGUUGAUCAUGGUGUACCAGCUUUGCAAGGGCGUUGCUUUAUGCCACGGACACAGUGUCCGGCACCAUGACCUCGAGCCACACAACCUGCAAAUUGGUGAAUGGGUUGGUAUCCUCUGGUUUGAUCCCAGAAAAGGAAGUGUUCUCUUCUCUUUAUCAACCAAAGGCACUUUCUUCUCUCAUGGAUGGAUGGGACUCCAUCAAUUUAGUAUCAGUUUAGGUGUUAGUAUGAUGUUGAUGCUUGUGUUGAUGCCAUGCUUUUUGUCUUGUCAUGUGCUGAUAUUAACUGGCAGCAUCAGCUCCCAUGAUUGCUUGCUUGCUUACUCUAUAACAUGUACUGCUAAAACAUUUUAUCCUACUCCAUGA
rnacentral:rRNA from 1 species